AAUAAGUGUAAUUUUGCACUAUUCACGUACCGUUUAAAAAUUUUAUAUGAUUACUAUUUUUAUUGCUAUUAGAUGAUAAAAUAUGAAUAAUACUUUAUGUGUGACUAAAUAUUUUUAAAUUUUUCACAAAUUUUUUAAAUAAGACGGACUGUCAAACGUUGAGCAUGGAUAUCCACGACUACACUUAUU
rnacentral:pre_miRNA from 1 species